rnacentral:tRNA from 1 species
CCUUCGAUAGCUCAGUUGGUAGAGCGGUGGACUGUAGCGAGAUUGAAAGAAGGAGGUUUACCCAGGUCUUACGAGGUGGGAGUGGACGCAGGAUGCAUCCAAAACUGACCUGUGUAUACUCCGUAUACAAUAUAGAAAUCCAUAGGUCACUGGUUCAAAUCCGGUUCGAAGGA